AUACAUGCAAGUCGAACGAAACUUUCUUACACUGAAUGAUUGCAUUCACCGUAAGAAGUUGAGUGGCGGACGGGUGAGUAACACGUGGGUAACCUGCCUAAAAGAAGGGGAUAACACUUGGAAACAGGUGCUAAUACCGUAUAUCUCUAAGGAUCGCAUGAUCUUUAGAUGAAAGAUGGUUCUGAUAUCGCUUUUAGAUGGACCCGCGGCGUAUUAACUAGUUGGUGGGGUAACGGCCUACCAAGGUGAUGAUACGUAGCCGAACUGAGAGGUUGAUCGGCCACAUUGGGAAUGAGACACGGCCCAAACUCCUACGGGAGGCAGCAGUAGGGAAUCUUCCACAAUGGACGCAAGUCUGAUGGAGCAACGCCGCGUGAGUGAAGAAGGUCUUCGGAUCGUAAAACUCUGUUGUUAGAGAAGAACACGAGUGAGAGU
rnacentral:rRNA from 1 species